GAGGACUGCCCCGCCCCUUUCUCAGAAGGGGCAUCAUAGGAAGCAGAACUGGCUAGAGCAUCUCCACCAUCUUCCUUCAAGCACGUGGACCGACACCCAGGCCUCCUGGUGUCCUGACACUGCAGACUCCUGGAAUAUACCUCCACCAGCAGGCAGGAAUCUGUCCUAUUCCCAGCAACCACUAGAGGCACUGCCUGACCCUACUGCGGCCACAAGCAGAGGGACCCCAGGAUUCUCAAAUCUGUUACCUUGUCUCACCUCCCCUAGGAAGCAGAAGAGUGCUAUGUGUUGUCGUCCUUCCCUCGGCAGCAGCAGCAGUAGAUGAUGAUGCCAAUGAUAAUGAG
rnacentral:lncRNA from 1 species